AUUGAACGCUGGCGGCAGGCUUAACACAUGCAAGUCGAGCGGGGAGAUGUAGCUUGCUACAUUUCCUAGCGGCGGACGGGUGAGUAAUGCUUAGGAAUCUGCCUAUUAGUGGGGGACAACAUUCCGAAAGGAAUGCUAAUACCGCAUACGCCCUACGGGGGAAAGCAGGGGAUCUUCGGACCUUGCGCUAAUAGAUGAGCCUAAGUCAGAUUAGCUAGUUGGUGGGGUAAAGGCCUACCAAGGCGACGAUCUGUAGCGGGUCGGAGAGGAUGCGCCGCCACAGUGGGACUGAGAAACGACCCAGACUCCUACGGGAGGCAGCAGUGGGGAAUAUUGGACAAUGGGCGCAAGCCUGAUCCAGCCAUGCCGCGUGUGUGAAGAAGGCCUUUUGGUUGUAAAGCACUUUAAGCGAGGAGGAGGCUACUUGGAUUAAUACUCUAGGAUAGUGGACGUUACUCGCAGAAUAAGCACCGGCUAACUCUGUGCCAGCCGCCGCGGUAA
rnacentral:rRNA from 1 species